GGCCGGAUGGUGUAGUUGGUCAUCACGUAUCGUUAACAUGAGCCCUCUUAGGAAGGCCUUGGCACCGAUAAGGUCCCCGGUUCGAACCCGGGUCUGGUCA